rfam:Chlorocebus sabaeus isolate 1994-021 chromosome X, whole genome shotgun sequence.
GCCUACGGCCAUACCACCCUGAAUGCGCCCGAUCUCGUCUGAUCUCAGAAGCUAAGCAGGGUCGGGCCUUGGAUG